GGAACAUUUAAUACUUCUUAUAAAGAAAAUCACAAACAAUUACAAUACAACAUCUAAGCAAAACUUUUAAAGGACUGGUAUCUGAGUUAGAAAGAUUGGCACUCACAUCUCCCUCAUUUAUAGUGAUUUUGCCUGGAUGCCGAAGUAGGGUGUAAGGUCAUUAAAGGAGCAGAUAAAAUGCCACUAGUGAAAAGAUGUGUUUAACAUUCUCAUGACUUACUAUGGCAUACUAAGAGAUCCACUGCAGAAAUAUCCA
rnacentral:misc_RNA from 1 species